rnacentral:rRNA from 1 species
CCUACGGGAGGCAGCAGUGGGGAAUAUUGCACAAUGGGCGCAAGCCUGAUGCAGCGACGCCGCGUGAGGGAUGACGGCCUUCGGGUUGUAAACCUCUUUCAGUAGGGAAGAAGCGUAAGUGACGGUACCUGCAGAAGAAGCGCCGGCUAACUACGUGC